CCUGGAUAGUGUAAAAGUUAACUCAAAUUUGUAUGGAGAUGGAAUGUUUGCCUACGUUUGCCGCUAGGAGCGCUGUUCCAACUGCAUACAAAAUUUAAGUUAACUUUUACGCUAUCGA
rnacentral:pre_miRNA from 9 species